rnacentral:tRNA from 1 species
GGGGGCGUAGCUCAGCCUGGGAGAGCGUCCGGCUGAAGACCGGUGCGUCGUGGGUUCAAAUCCCACCGCCCCCA